rnacentral:rRNA from 1 species
CAAGCGUUGUCCGGAUUUAUUGGGCGUAAAGAGCUCGUAGGCGGUUCGGUAAGUCGGGUGUGAAAACUUUGGGCUUAACCCAAAGCGUGCAUCCGAUACUGCUGUGACUUGAGUUCGGUAGGGGAGUGGGGAAUUCCUAGUGUAGCGGUGAAAUGCGCAGAUAUUAGGAGGAACACCGGUGGCGAAGGCGCCACUCUGGGCCGAAACUGACGCUGAGGAGCGAAAGCAUGGGUAGCAAACAGG